GACGAACGCUGGCGGCGUGCCUAACACAUGCAAGUCGAACGGAACUGUUUUGAAAGCUUUCUUCGGAAUGAAUUUGAUUUAGUUUAGUGGCGGACGGGUGAGUAACGCGUGAGUAACCUGCCUUCAAGAGGGGAAUAACAUUCUGAAAAGAAUGCUAAUACCGCAUGACAUAUCGGAACCACAUGGUUUUGAUAUCAAAGAUUUUAUCGCUUGAAGAUGGACUCGCGUCCGAUUAGUUAGUUGGUGAGGUAACGGCUCACCAAGACCGCGAUCGGUAGCCGGACUGAGAGGUUGAACGGCCACAUUGGGACUGAGACACGGCCCAGACUCCUACGGGAGGCAGCAGUGGGGGAUAUUGCGCAAUGGGGGCAACCCUGACGCAGCAACGCCGCGUGAAGGAUGAAGGUUUUCGGAUUGUAAACUUCUUUUAUUAAGGACGAAAAAUGACGGUACUGAAUGAAUAAGCUCCGGCUAACUACGU
rnacentral:rRNA from 1 species